rnacentral:rRNA from 1 species
GGCACCACCAGGGGUAAACUACAACGGUUUCUCGAAAGCCGCAGUUAACUCUGCUCCUAAAAGCCGCUCUAACGAGUUGAUGGUGUUCCCUGGCUCAGGCCUAAACUAAUGGCUAGUCUCCUCGGAGGCGACAUCCUCAAACUGCGGGAAACUCCUAAAGCUCACACUACCAAGCAGGCCUCGAAAGAGAGCUCUGUGGCCGGGGUAACGACCUAGGGUACGGUAAAAACGUGUGAGAUGCUACAGUGGACGAUCCGCAGCCAAGCCCCUACGUGCGCCAGCAUACGGGGAAGGUUCAGAGACUUGACGGGGGUGGGUGGGCUACAGGCCUGCCUAAGAUAAAGUCCGGCCCCGCGUGAAAGCGCUGGGGGUUACAACUGCUUCUGCACUA